UACGAAGGGGGCUAGCGUUGCUCGGAAUUACUGGGCGUAAAGCGCACGUAGGCGGCUUUCUAAGUCGGGGGUGAAACCCUGGAGCUCAACUCCAGAACUGCCUUCGAUACUGGAAAGCUCGAGUCCGGGAGAGGUGAGUGGAACUGCGAGUGUAGAGGUGAAAUUCGUAGAUAUUCGCAAGAACACCAGUGGCGAAGGCGGCUCACUGGCCCGGUACUGACGCUGAGGUGCGAAAGCGUGGGGAGCAAACAGG
rnacentral:rRNA from 1 species